UCCAUGUCUUUUUCUGCCUCCUCAUUUUCUUCAAAUUCGGAUUCAGAACUAGAACUAGGUGGAUUAGGUUCUGGUACUUUCCUUUUCCUUCUCAAAGUUCGUUCAAAAUUGCCGUCAAACUCCGAUAUAUGUGCACGAACUGGUUGAGAACUACGAGUCAUAAACUAGUACCUGAAAUAAAUAAAAUCAAAUAAAAUUAAAACUAAAAUUAAAACACACAUAAAAGAAAUAAAAAAAAAAAAAAAAAAACAAUGGGGAUUUAGCAAAGUUGCUAAUCCCCGGCAACGGCGCCAAAAUUUGAUGCGA
rnacentral:lncRNA from 1 species